GCGGAUGUGGCGGAACUGGCAGACGCGCUGGAUUUAGGUUCCAGUGCCUUCGGGCGUGCAGGUUCGAUUCCUGUCAUCCGUA
rfam:Weissella cibaria strain MG1 contig000042, whole genome shotgun sequence.